CUGGAGGAAGCACGGGCUAAGUUCGUGCCAGCAGCCGCGGUAAGACGAACCGUGCAAACGUUGUUCGGAUUCACUGGGCUUAAAGGGCGCGUAGGCGGGCCAUCAAGUCAGGGGUGAAAUCUUUCGGCUCAACCGGAAAAGUGCCUUUGAUACUGGUGGUCUCGAGGGAGGUAGGGGCAUGCGGAACUUCCGGUGGAGCGGUGAAAUGCGUAGAUAUCGGAAGGAACGCCGGUGGCGAAAGCGGCGUGCUGGACCUCUUCUGACGCUGAGGCGCGAAAGCUAGGGGAGCAAACGGGAUUAGAUACCCCGGUAGUCCUAGCCCUAAACGAUGAGCACUAGAUUGUAGAUCGACAUGGGUUUACAGUCGAAGCAAAAGUGUUAAGUGCUCCGCUUGGGGAGUAUGGUCGCAAGGC
rnacentral:rRNA from 1 species